rnacentral:rRNA from 1 species
AGAGUUUGAUCCUGGCUCAGGAUGAACGCUGGCGGUCUGCUUAACACAUGCAAGUCGAACGGGCUCUUCGGAGCUAGUGGCGGACAGGUGAGUAACGCGUGAGAAUCUGCCUUCAGGAGGGGGAUAACGACUGGAAACGGUCGCUAAUACCCCAUAUGCCUCCGGGUGAAAAGUAAUUCGCCUGAAGAUGAGCUCGCGUCAGAUUAGCUAGUUGGUGGGGUAAGAGCCUACCAAGGCGACGAUCUGUAGCUGGUCUGAGAGGAUGAUCAGCCACACUGGGACUGAGACACGGCCCAGACUCCUACGGGAGGCAGCAGUGGGGAAUUUUCCGCAAUGGGCGCAAGCCUGACGGAGCAAGACCGCGUGGGGGAUGACGGCCUAAUGGUUGUAAACCCCUUUUCUCUGGGAAGAAGACUGACGGUACCAGAGGAAUCAGCCUCGGCUAACUCCGUGCCAGCAGCCGCGGUAAUACGGAGGAGGCAAGCGUUAUCCGGAAUUAUCGGGCGUAAAGCGUCCGUAGGUGGUUAUUCAAGUCUGCUGUCAAAGCGUGGGGCUUAACUCCAUAGAGGCAGUGGAAACUGAGUGACUAGAGUGCGGUAGGGGGUCGAGGGAAUUCCCAGUGUAGCGGUGAAAUGCGUA